GGACGCUUACCACUUUGUGGUUCAUGACUGGGGUGAAGUCGUAACAAGGUAGCGCUAGGGGAACCUGGCGCUGGAUCACCUCCUUA
rnacentral:rRNA from 4 species